UCAGAGAUAAAUUAUUUUUCUGGCAAAACUCUUGCGAAUAGCUUCGAUUUUCUUCGAACGCAUCUUAAUUAACUAUGAGAUGUACCCCUCGCA
rnacentral:sRNA from 1 species